UAGGGAAUAUUGGUUCUAUGGAUGCAGUCUGAAACCAGCCAUGCCGCGUGCAGGAAGAAGGCCUUCUGGGUUGUAAACUGCUUUUGCCAGGGGAUAAAAAUUCCAUGCGUGGAAGAUUGAAGGUACCUGGUGAAUAAGCCACGGCUAACUACGUGC
rnacentral:rRNA from 1 species